rnacentral:rRNA from 1 species
CGCAACCCCUGCUUUCAGUUGCUACCGGGUCAUGCCGAGCACUCUGAAAGGACUGCCCAGGAUAACGGGGAGGAAGGUGGGGAUGACGUCAAGUCAGCAUGGCCCUUAUGCCUGGGGCCACACACGUGCUACAAUGGCCGGUACAAAGCGCUGCAAACCUGCGAGGGGGAGCCAAUCGCAAAAAACCGGCCUCAGUUCAGAUUGAGGUCUGCAACUCGACCUCAUGAAGGCGGAAUCGCUAGUAAUCGCGGAUCAGCACGCCGCGGUGAAUACGUUCCCGGGCCUUGUACACACCGCCCGUCACACCACGAAAGCCUGUUGUACCUGAAGUCGCCCAAGCCAACCGCAAGGAGGCAGGCGCCCACGGUAUGGCCGGUGAUUGGGGUGAAGUCGUAACAAGGUAAAG